UGACUGAGAGGUUUAUUUUCAUAGGAGCC
rnacentral:piRNA from 1 species